rnacentral:rRNA from 1 species
CCGAGAAUAUUGGACAAUGGGGGAAACCCUGAUCCAGCGACACCGCGUUUAGGAAGAAGGUUUUCGAAUCGUAAACUAAUUUUGCAAGGGAAGAAGUAACUGACUGUACCUUGCGAAUAAGGGGUUGCUAACUCUGUGCCAGCAGCAGCGGUAAUACAGAGACCCCAAGCGUUAUCCGGAUUUAUUGGGUGUAAAGAGCUGGUAGGUGGUUAUAUUAGUCAGAUGUCAAAUCUUCGAGCUCAACUCGAAAACUGCAUUUGAAACGGUAUAACUAGAGGGUGUGAGAGAUCUAUGGAACUCAUGGUGUAGCAGUGAAAUGCGUUGAUAUCAUGAGGAACACCAAAGGCGAAGGCAUUAGAUUGGCACAUUCCUGACACUGAGCAGCGAAAGCGUGGGUAGCGAAUGGG